CGACACUGUGCAAAAAGAUAAAGACUGCCUAGAUGCUGGUGCAUCUUCGUCAGCUUUCCUAUUUUGCGGUGUGUCG
rnacentral:ncRNA from 1 species